rnacentral:lncRNA from 1 species
UGGGGGAAAUGUUGGAAACUCAAGGGGGGAGUGCACAAUGGUUUCCAGUGGAGGAGGCUCCGAGGACGAUGAUGAGUCGAGGGACAGUGAGGACGAGGGAGCCCGUGAGGAGACCAGAGGUGAUCAGAGUGGAGACAGCAAUGGAGAGGCCUCGGACGAGGGGAACAGUGAGGAUGACCACACUCGUACACCGCAGACUGGGACAUAUUCCUCUCCCCCCAUGCACAGACGUACUUCUCCCAUUCAUGCACCAUCCACAUCUCAUGUACGACAAGGUCAAACCUCUAGUGCGAGCCUCACGAGAGACGAGGUGGAGGAACUAUUGCUUGAUCAAAGAACGCUCAUCGAAAUUCGCCCG